AUACGUAGGGGGCGAGCGUUGUCCGGAAUGAUUGGGCGUAAAGGGCGCGUAGGCGGCCCGGUAAGUCUGGAGUGAAAGUCCUGUUUUUAAGAUGGGAAUUGCUUUGGAUACUGUCGGGCUUGAGUGCAGGAGAGGUAAGUGGAAUUCCCAGUGUAGCGGUGAAAUGCGUAGAGAUUGGGAGGAACACCAGUGGCGAAGGCGACUUACUGGACUGUAACUGACGCUGAGGCGCGAAAGUGUGGGGAGCAAACAGGAUUAGAUACCCUGGUAGUCCACACUGUAAACGAUGAAUGCUAGGCGUAGGGGGUAUCGACCCCUUCUGUGCCGCAGUCAACACAAUAAGCAUUCCGCCUGGGGAGUACGGCCGCAAGGUUGAAACUCAAAUGAAUUGACGGGG
rnacentral:rRNA from 1 species